AAAAGAACCUGUAAAAAAUUAUAUAAGCCACAAUUCUCAGAAGUCGGAUCCUUUUAUUGGUCUGGUAUAAAAUGUGUCGCUUUCAACAGAUUGAAGACUACAUGGUCAGGUUCCAGCCUUUACUGGAUGUUGCCAUUUUUCAAAUACAUAUUGAACAACUUUCUGUUAUAGUACCUUGCUGACUGCAUUGGCAACCUGACACAAUUUCACAGCUCCAGCAGCCUGACCCAAAGGAAUGAUGCUAAGAUACAUGCCACAUUACUCACUGCCAUGUCCUCACUGACUAGUAUGUACAGACAAGGGAGGAACAGAAGGGAGGACCCCAAAAGGCCAAGGUGAAACCCUGGGGUCAUGAACCCUCAGAGGGAAAUGAAAGAAAAAGGGAAAUACUUGCCUGCAGCGGGACCCGCAGCGGACCUGGCGCCUGAGAAGGGACCCACGCGGCUCGUGUAGCUGUGCCUUUCUACAGUUGCGGCUGGCAGAUGACAUCAGCUGCAUCACUGGCCGGCGGAAAUAAAGCGGGCCACCGUCAAGGAGGAGGGAGACAGAUCGACACCGGUGAGAGCGCCGGCAGGAGAGGUUUUCCCAGAGCUCCUGCGGCAGCAAAAGGAGCCAGAAGCUGCUUUCCCCAGCAGGGAAGAACGCUGCAGAGCACGCAGUGGGACAGACUCCGCUGGCUGCAGCAAAGGGAGCCGGAGGAGGCUCCUCAAGACCGGGAACCCAGACAAGAGAUCAGAAGGGAGCAGGAAGAUCCCAACACCAAUAGCCACAGCAGAAGAGUGGGAGAUACCAGCACAUCUCAAGACGCCAGACCAGGUAGGACUGUUGAGGGCCCUGGGAGAGCCGGCGAGGCGCACCGGGGGGAGCCAGGAGACAAGAGCAGUGAGAGGGGCUUUGAAGCAUGGCCCUCUGGGGCAUCGAGCCAUCCCAGUGGGUAGUGUGGGGAAAAACACCCACAGGAGGGUCACCAUGGGUCCAGCGAAACCAAAGGCUGGGUGACGAGGGAGGAGGAGAGGGGAGUAGCCUGCAGGCUACCACGGCCGCAGAUGGAGCCAAGCAUAGACCACUAAUAUAUGAAGGCAGGCAUUGGUGAUAGGGCCCGGGGAGCUGGGGAAAAGAGUCGGCUGGGCCCCUUAGAGUGUUUCAGCGAUAUAUUUUUUUUUUUUUUUAUAUUUUAUGUUUCCCACUGUUGGAGGGGUUGAAGGACAAGGCUCAUGGACCCUGAUUGUUGUCUAAGUCUCAAGGCAGUUGGUAGCCUUAGGGAAAGGAAGUUGGUCUCGGGGCAUGGAUAGGAUAUUGCGGGCUGGUAACACAUGGGCUGAGAGGACCAUCCUGGCAAAUGUAGUCAGGGGCUCAACGGUCGGGGAUCUGGCCAGGAGGACAUCUGUGUCCCGUCAAGGCUGGGUGUAAGGGCGAGGUAGAGGGGAGGUGGAGCCUCGCAGAAGACCGCCAGACAGACUUCCCGCCAUCAAGAGACUCCCCGGUGGUCAGACCCUCCACUGAAGCAAGAUUCAAAGUUGUGGCAGGCGAGAUUGGGGAAGACUACAUAGGAGGUAAAUAUCUACUUGACGGAACACCAAGGACAGACGGACGAACACCACCGAACAUCCGGGCCAGAGCAGCACGUGACUGGAUGUUCAAGGCCAGACAGGCACAGUCUACAAACUCAUUAUGCAUAGUGAAGCAAUAAGUGUUUUAUGCUAGGGUAUCCCUAUCUUUGGCAAGUGGAAUUAAACCCACAUUCAGCCUUGACAGCUGUACCAGUUACAUUCUGCUUAUACCAAAACCUCUAAGAAGCUUCAGUCCUGUUCAUCAGGGAAAGAAAAAACCUCUAAUCAAUAUUUUCUCUGAAUAUGCUAGCAAUCAUAUUAAUGCUAAGAAAUAAUAAUAACUAUUAUUAUUCAUAGAUUGUAAGGGGCUGGAAGGGACCUUGCAAGAUCAUCGGGUCCAGCCCCCCUGCACUAAGCAGGAAAUAAAUUAUAAUAAAUUUUUGCUUUAUCUUAGGGUCUUAGAGUUGUGUUAAUAAUGGGGAGGCGGCUAGAGGAGUAGAAAGCAAGCUCUGGUUGCAGAAGGCUAAAAAGAGAGAAGGAAAAAUGCACCCCAGGCAGUAAACUCAGGGUACAGAAACUACCAUAACUUUUAAAAUUACAUUAAUUUUGCAUUGUGUGAGCAGAAUCUAUUUGAUUAUGUGACGCAUAACCCUGAGGCAAAGAAUCAGAGGAUCCCAGAAAUAUGCAACUGGAAGGGAGCCGAAGUGAUUAAACCCCCUACACUGUGUAGGUUCAAGUACACCUAGACCAGCCUUAGCAAAUGCUUGACUAAGCUGUUGUUAAAAAAUUUCUGAUGAAGGAGAUUCCACCGCCUUCCUAGGUAGCCCGUUUUUGGUUCAUAUCCUUAUAAUUAUAGCCUCCCCAUCCUUAUAGUUAGAAUGUUUUUAAUAAUAUCUAACUAAAUCUGUGCUGCUAUUUAAGUAGAUUUAUUUUUCUCCUUCCCCCAGCAGAUAUGCUAAACAACUGGUCACCAACCUCUUUUAACAACCUUAUGGUUAACAGCCAGAAGUAAAGCUGUUCUCAUGUCCCUCCAUAUUAGACUUAUUAUUACCAUAUUAAGCUAUUAUGCAAACAGUAGAAGACAGAGCUAUUUCACACAGGUAUUUGAUUGUCUUACCUCUA